UUGUAGUCUUUGUGGUUGUGAGGUCAAGGAAAAUUCAUUAUAACUUCAUUACAUUCUCAUGACUUGAAUAUUAUUAUGAGUCUAAAUGGAAUCUCAAGCAUGGUAAACUUGUUUGGAGGAUUUUGAAGAAGAAUAUCCACGCUUCAUGUUCCUUCCGAUUCCGAAUUGCUCUUAACGUCAAAGGGUUGAAUAUGAGUACAAAGCUGUCAAUCUGUUGAAAGGAGAACAAUCUCAUCCUGAGUUUCUCCAGCUCAACCCUAUUGGUUUUGUUCCCGUUCUCGUCGAUGGUCCUGCUUAUUUGGAGGAUAAGUAUCCUCAACAUCCUUUGCUACCCACUGAUAUUCACAAAAGAGCUAUCAAUUUUCAGGUGGUUACUAUUGCAUUAUUUUCUCCAAAAUUUGAAUAACCAGGCCACAUAGAUAGUGCAAUAAAGUGCUUUUUUCACUGUUAAAGUGAUGUCAAUUAGGAUCAGAUGAUAUCAAAUUGGUAUAUGUAAUCAAAUUCAAAUUAUAAUUUUAUUCUUGGGUUGUAAUGGAAUU